rnacentral:misc_RNA from 1 species
AUAUUGUGCCGACGACGACGUUUGUCGGUAUUGUUCAACUGAUUUGUGUCGGAACCCGCCAGAUCAAUGUCAAUAUCAGUGUAUAUUAUAUCAACAGCAAAACCUCAAAGGUGGGUCUACAACUACUCAGAGUACUUUGAAUGUGAGAAAACUUUACAUUCUUAAAAUAACGCACUCUACAACAUUAAUCUGAAUAGAUUAAUCAAUGCAAUUAAAUUUGUAACUGUCAUACUUUUUAUUUAAUUCAUUAACAGAAUUAUGCACAAAGAAGAAAAAUAUUACGGGAAAAAUGACAGAACAAAACGGAAAUGAAAUAUCGUUUGACAAGUCCAUUUUCAUUGCUGGGUGUGCAAUAUUGGCAUUUAUCGUGACGAGCAUAAUUAUUGGACUGGUGUACUUUUGUUGGAUUCGCAAUACGACUCCCUGCAUAAUUAUCGAAAAUUGUUUCGUAAAAUGCUACAGAUGCAGUUGUGCUGAGAACCAAAGACGUAAAACAGCAUACAUUAACGACGGAGGAGAAGAAAUGACUUCAAUGUGUGUUCCGAGUGGAAACUGAAUGAGUGUGUUCCAUGCGAAAAUUGACUCACAGUUUAAUCUCUUGCUUAUAAGUAUUAUACGAUGUAUAAAGCGAUGUAGACCUUAUAGGUCCCCAGUUACCGUCUUUAAAUGUUACAAUUUAAAUAUAAUAGUAUAAAAUAUAUUGGUUUUG